rnacentral:lncRNA from 1 species
ACAAAUUUCAGGUAAACUGUGUAAUUAAUUUUUAUUUUUAUCUUUAUUUAAUGCUCCAUGCAUGUGAACAAAGAUUCGAUGUGACAGGGAAUCUUGAAAAUUUUUGCGAACUAAACAAGGCCUCAUUUGUUUGUUCGUUCAUUGGUUGGGCAACGACUCACAAUCAGUCACGUGUCUAUCAGUCUAUCCAUGGAAAAUUGAAAAUGUGCCUCUACUACUAAAUUGGCCGGCGC